GGGUUGUGAGGUUAAGUGACUAAGCGUACACGGUGGAUGCCUAGGCAGUCAGAGGCGAUGAAGGGCGUGCUAAUCUGCGAAAAGCGUCGGUAAGGUGAUAUGAACCGUUACAACCGGCGAUACCCGAAUGGGGAAACCCAGUGUGUUUCGACACACUAUCAUGUCAUGAAUACAUAGUGGCAUGAGGCGAACCGGGGGAACUGAAACAUCUAAGUACCCCGAGGAAAAGAAAUCAACCGAGAUUCCCCCAGUAGCGGCGAGCGAACGGGGAGGAGCCCAGAACCUGAAUCGGCUUGUGUGUUAGUGGAAGCGUCUGGAAAGUCGCGCAGCAAAGGGUGAUAGCCCCGUACACUAAAAUGCACAGGUCGUGAGUUCGAUGAGUAGGGCGGGACACGUGACAUCCUGUCUGAAUAUGGGGGGACCAUCCUCCAAGGCUAAAUACUCCUGACUGACCGAUAGUGAACCAGUACCGUGAGGGAAAGGCGAAAAGAACCCCGGCGAGGGGAGUGAAAUAGAACCUGAAACCGUGUACGUACAAGCAGUGGGAGCACCUUCGUGGUGUGACUGCGUACCUUUUGUAUAAUGGGUCAGCGACUUAUAUUUUGUAGCAAGGUUAACCGUAUAGGGGAGCCGUAGGGAAACCGAGUCUUAACUGGGCGACUAGUUGCAAGGUAUAGACCCGAAACCCGGUGAUCUAGCCAUGGGCAGGUUGAAGGUUGGGUAACACUAACUGGAGGACCGAACCGACUAAUGUUGAAAAAUUAGCGGAUGACUUGUGGCUGGGGGUGAAAGGCCAAUCAAACCGGGAGAUAGCUGGUUCUCCCCGAAAGCUAUUUAGGUAGCGCCUCGUGAACUCAUCUUCGGGGGUAGAGCACUGUUUCGGCUAGGGGGCCAUCCCGGCUUACCAAACCGAUGCAAACUCCGAAUACCGAAGAAUGUUAUCACGGGAGACACACGGCGGGUGCUAACGUCCGUCGUGAAGAGGGAAACAACCCAGACCGCCAGCUAAGGUCCCAAAGUCAUGGUUAAGUGGGAAACGAUGUGGGAAGGCAUAGACAGCCAGGAUGUUGGCUUAGAAGCAGCCAUCAUUUAAAGAAAGCGUAAUAGCUCACUGGUCGAGUCGGCCUGCGCGGAAGAUGUAACGGGGCUAAACCAUGCACCGAAGCUGCGGCAGCGACGCUUAGGCGUUGUUGGGUAGGGGAGCGUUCUGUAAGCCGUUGAAGGUGGCCUGUGAGGGUUGCUGGAGGUAUCAGAAGUGCGAAUGCUGACAUAAGUAACGAUAAAGCGGGUGAAAAGCCCGCUCGCCGGAAGACCAAGGGUUCCUGUCCAACGUUAAUCGGGGCAGGGUGAGUCGACCCCUAAGGCGAGGCUGAAAAGCGUAGUCGAUGGGAAACAGGUUAAUAUUCCUGUACUUGGUGUUACUGCGAAGGGGGGACGGAGAAGGCUAGGCUGGCCGGGCGACGGUUGUCCCGGUUUAAGCGUGUAGGGGGUGUGACCUGGUAAAUCCGGUUGCAUAUCAACCCUGAGGCGUGAUGACGAUGCACUACGGUGCAGAAGUAGUUGAUGCCCUGCUUCCAGGAAAAUCCUCUAAGCUCCAGGUAACAUUAAAUCGUACCCCAAACCGACACAGGUGGUCAGGUAGAGAAUACCAAGGCGCUUGAGAGAACUCGGGUGAAGGAACUAGGCAAAAUGGUGCCGUAACUUCGGGAGAAGGCACGCUGGCAUGUAGGUGAAGUCCCUUGCGGAUGGAGCUGAAGCCAGUCGAAGAUACCAGCUGGCUGCAACUGUUUAAUAAAAACACAGCACUGUGCAAACACGAAAGUGGACGUAUACGGUGUGACGCCUGCCCGGUGCUGGAAGGUUAAUUGAUGGGGUCAGCCGCAAGGCGAAGCUCUUGAUCGAAGCCCCAGUAAACGGCGGCCGUAACUAUAACGGUCCUAAGGUAGCGAAAUUCCUUGUCGGGUAAGUUCCGACCUGCACGAAUGGCGUAAUGAUGGCCAGGCUGUCUCCACCCGAGACUCAGUGAAAUUGAACUCGCUGUGAAGAUGCAGUGUACCCGCGGCAAGACGGAAAGACCCCGUGAACCUUUACUAUAGCUUGACACUGAACAUUGAGCCUUGAUGUGUAGGAUAGGUGGGAGGCUUUGAAGCGUGGACGCCAGUCUGCGUGGAGCCAUCCUUGAAAUACCACCCUUUAAUGUUUGAUGUUCUAACUCGGCCCCAUAAUCUGGGGUGAGGACAGUGUCUGGUGGGUAGUUUGACUGGGGCGGUCUCCUCCCAAAGAGUAACGGAGGAGCACGAAGGUUAGCUAAUCACGGUCGGACAUCGUGAGGUUAGUGCAAAGGCAUAAGCUAGCUUGACUGCGAGAGUGACGGCUCGAGCAGGUACGAAAGUAGGUCUUAGUGAUCCGGUGGUUCUGAAUGGAAGGGCCAUCGCUCAACGGAUAAAAGGUACUCCGGGGAUAACAGGCUGAUACCGCCCAAGAGUUCAUAUCGACGGCGGUGUUUGGCACCUCGAUGUCGGCUCAUCACAUCCUGGGGCUGAAGUAGGUCCCAAGGGUAUGGCUGUUCGCCAUUUAAAGUGGUACGCGAGCUGGGUUUAGAACGUCGUGAGACAGUUCGGUCCCUAUCUGCCGUGGGCGUUGGAAGAUUGAGAGGGGUUGCUCCUAGUACGAGAGGACCGGAGUGAACGCACCACUGGUGUUCGGGUUGUCAUGCCAAUGGCAUUGCCCGGUAGCUAAGUGCGGAAAAGAUAAGCGCUGAAAGCAUCUAAGCGCGAAACUUGCCUCAAGAUGAGUCUUCCCUGGGCCUUUAAGGCCCCUGAAGGAACGUUUAAGACUAAGACGUUGAUAGGCUGGGUGUGUAAGUGCAGCGAUGCAUUGAGCUAACCAGUACUAAUGAUCCGUGAGGCUUAACCUUACAACACCGAAGGUGUUU
rnacentral:rRNA from 1 species